UUCCGAGAAUUUCGCUUCUGUUGCAUUCCUUUUUCUUUCGGUUCCAACUGAUUAUGCUGAUUUAACCAAGAACACUGGCUUUUGGGCUUCUGGGGUCAUCAUUUCCUUCUCCCAUCACCACCGUUCGAUUGGAGAUUUGUUCGUGGACAACUUAAAGUGUGUAGCUGUCUCCCAUAUUGUUUGGAGUUCAGGUAUCACCACCCACCUCCUCACAAGGAACUCGGACAGGCGACAUCUCGAUAUCAACAAGUCAGACGCUGCCAUAUAAAGGGAUCUGGACCUCACAUUCAAGCCCAAAUCAACAUUUCAGGGAGUCAUCUUCCCCAAUUUGAACCACACCCCAGUAAAUGCAAUUGACUUCAACCUCAUCCAUUUUCAAGUGCACAUAAGGAGAGAAGGAAUUUUCUUGUGAGCCCUAGCAUGUCGUUGCGAAGAUAUAACUCUCCUGCAAGUGAUGGAACUUGCAGCAGUUCAUCGAGUUCGAAGAGGAUGAAGGGAAAGAUGCUCGACGGAAAAUGCUUGUGUGGGAGGGAUGUUGUGUUGAUAGAGUCUGGCACCAUGACAAACCCUAAUAGAUGGUUCAUCAGAUGUCCUGGGUGGGCGGUAAUAUACACGCUGUGUUCUUGUUCAGGUUAGAAAUCUAUUUUUGACAUUGUAGUUGACACUUCGGUUGGUUUAUUUUUUCCAGACAAGAGAUUGCAAAUACUUUGUGUGGGUGGAUGAAAUUGAAGAAGGAUGGGAGGGCCUAGCAAGAGCUUUAGCAAAAAGAAAUUCCGAUCAGUCUUAUUCAAGGCAUGAGGAUGGCGUGACUGUAACGACUGGUCUGGAAAAUCAGCCAGCAUCGUCGAUGAUGUCCAGGAAAUUGGAAAAAUUUAGGGGUGAAGUUAGGGGGGAACUUAGGGGAAUGAGACUGUUGCUCUCAACCAUUGCGUUGGGGGUUGCCUUCUGUUUAAUUUUUGAGUUGUAUUUGGUUAUGCAAGUGUAAGAUGUGUAUGAGUUGGGAACUUUGGUAUGACAUGCUGCUUAAGUGAUUGUAUAACUUUGAUCUGGUUUUUAUUAAUUCUGAUGCAUUAACAUAGGCACGAAGAUUUCGAUCUCUGGUAGUGUUAU